UACGGAGGGUGCGAGCGUUGUCCGGAAUCAUUGGGCGUAAAGGGCGCGUAGGUGGCCCGGUCAGUCUUUGGUGAAAGCGCGGGGCUCAACCCUGCGUCGGCCAGGGAUACUGCCGCGGCUCGAGCACUGUAGAGGCAGGCGGAAUUCCGGGUGUAGCGGUGGAAUGCGUAGAGAUCCGGAAGAACACCGGUGGCGAAGGCGGCCUGCUGGGCAGUUUAGCUGACACUGAGGAACGAAAGCCAGGGGAGCAAACGGG
rnacentral:rRNA from 1 species